rnacentral:rRNA from 1 species
CCUACGGGUGGCUGCAGUGGGGAAUAUUGGACAAUGGGCGAAAGCCUGAUCCAGCCAUGCCGCGUGUGUGAAGAAGGCCUUCGGGUUGUAAAGCACUUUCAGUGGGGAAGAAAGCCUUGGGGCUAAUACCCUCGAGGAAGGACAUCACCCACAGAAGAAGCACCGGCUAACUCCGUGCCAGCAGCCGCGGUAAUACGGAGGGUGCGAGCGUUAAUCGGAAUUACUGGGCGUAAAGCGCGCGUAGGCGGUCUGAUAAGCCGGUUGUGAAAGCCCCGGGCUCAACCUGGGAACGGCAUCCGGAACUGGCAGGCUAGAGUGCAGGAGAGGAAGGUAGAAUUCCCGGUGUAGCGGUGAAAUGCGUAGAGAUCGGGAGGAAUACCAGUGGCGAAGGCGGCCUUCUGGACUGACACUGACGCUGAGGUGCGAAAGCGUGGGUAGCAAACAGGAUUAGAUACCCCAGUAGUC